GGGAAGGUGGCUCAAUGGUAGAGUGCUUGCUUGGCAUGCAUGAAGCCCUAGGUUCGAUUCCUCAAUACCA
rnacentral:tRNA from 1 species